CUCUGGACUGGCCAUCACAUAAUUUAUUUAGGGUCUUAACUAUCCAUGAUCAUGAUUUGUUUUUGUAUGUGGAUGUGGUUUUCUUGCGUCGAGGGGAUUGUGUGGCUGUGAUUAAUGCAUUUAUCUCUGUUUCUGGAGAUGGGAAGAUGAUUUGCAUUUAUGAUAUAGAGAAUUUGUCUGGGUGUGGUGGAGAUUUUGUGUGGAGCUGUGUGUGCAUCAUUUUGUGGAACACAAAAGAAAAGAGAAUGUCACAGGGGUUUGGAGCGACAUAAGGGUGAGUCCUAAGUAAAGUCAGUCGUGCUCAGCUCUUGCAAUGAUAUACGUGUUCAUUAGGUGUGAGCCACACCAGCUUUCAUUUCCAGCGUGCUCUGCGCUUUUAAAUUCACUCUGUGUAGGAAGUGCCAAGGCCUUGCGUCACUUCCUCAACCAUCUCUCUCAGCACUUCUGUUUUUCUCCUCUGUUUCCCCUUUCCACCCUACACCUCUGUAUCUCACUGAGGAAAAACGCUUAUCCAGCGCUCAUCACCUUGAUUCUCGCUCCACAUCCCCAACAACAAAGUUUGCACCGUCGUUCAAAGUUUGCGAGCUUCGGCACAGCCUGCGUACCGUUCUUUGGAACCUGCAGACUCCCUCACGUGCACGUCUGCACUGGACCAACGUUUGCUCUGGAGCAGCUGAGCAGGAGAAGCAACUGUGGAUCUGUCCAUCGCCUGGCUUACAUUUUUGGGGGUGGGGAGAAAGCAGGAGUUUUGCAGCGGUGGUACUUGAGGUUUUAUUUUUAGCCUCUUCCCGACCCUCUACCAUGACAGCUGUCUCCCUCCUCCUCCUCCUCCUCCUCUGACAGAGCAGAGUCAGGAAUAGCCUGUCACUUUGCACCUCUCAGAACUUGGGCUGCCGGUUAGUGUGACGUGGAUCUUCUGGUUCUCAGGACUGUCUCUGUCUCGAACACACACAUACACGAGUCUUGCCGCUUUGGUCGGCACUCAGCUGCACUCUGACCUUGGUAAGUGAGCGACGUUAAGUGUUCGGAGCUGCCGCAGAGGAUCUAAGAGCCAAGAGUCUCCUCUUCUUUCCAGCAUUGUGGGUCUUGUUUACCUGAAGUUUGUGACCUCACAUAACAUAACUGUGAAGACCAGCAUCCCAUUGUGCCAGCCCUCUUGUCUGCUGGUCCCUCCAUCUGUCACUCAUCUUUUCAUCCCGCCCUCCCGUCCUCAUCAAACCCUUACCCGGCCCAGCCCAUGACAGCAGCUUUGCCAGCAUGGCAUUUUCAUCACGCUUUUCCUUCUGGGAGCGAAAGGAAAGUGAUGCUCCAUUCUCAUCUUUCUGCACUGUGUGACAUCAGCUAGGGGGUGUGCAUGAAA